rnacentral:rRNA from 1 species
GUACACUCCUGCGGGAGGCAGCAGUGGGGAAUAUUGCACAAUGGGCGCAAGCCUGAUGCAGCCAUGCCGCGUGUGUGAAGAAGGCCUUCGGGUUGUAAAGCACUUUCAGCGGGGAGGAAGGCGAUACGGUUAAUAACCGUGUUGAUUGACGUUACCCGCAGAAGAAGCACCGGCUAACUCCGUGCCAGCAGCCGCGGUAAUACGGAGGGUGCAAGCGUUAAUCGGAAUUACUGGGCGUAAAGCGCACGCAGGCGGUCUGUCAAGUCGGAUGUGAAAUCCCCGGGCUCAACCUGGGAACUGCAUUCGAAACUGGCAGGCUUGAGUCUUGUAGAGGGGGGUAGAAUUCCAGGUGUAGCGGUGAAAUGCGUAGAGAUCUGGAGGAAUACCGGUGGCGAAGGCGGCCCCCUGGACAAAGACUGACGCUCAGGUGCGAAAGCGUGGGGAGCAAACAGGAUUAGAAACCCGUGUAGUCCCAUGA